rnacentral:lncRNA from 1 species
CAAAAGAUCUAAAUUUUACGUAAUGGAUCCCGUCCCGAUCGUCCCCUCACACGUGGCACUGCCGCGUAAACAAUGCCACAUCGUAGAGAAAGCAUAAGGGGGAGGCCAUCGGGAGAUUAUCCCGAGAAUUCAAACUAUUCUUGUAAUGUCGUACGAGCCUCGUUCCGUUCGCUCUUUCAUGCGCAGCAUUACCGGUGUAAAUGUAAUAAUGCCGCACAGUGAACAAGCAAAAGGGGAAGAGAGUCUCCGGAUAGCCGUUACAAUCCAGUAACGACUUAACGCAGAUUACUCCUGCAUAAGCGUCUCUGCGAUGAGGGGAGAAGAAACAUGGGGCAUAGACGAUGUGCUGCUGAGAGUCACAAUGCGGAUCAUCAGGGUCUCCCGUCACCUGGAAACCACCAGACCGUAGACUGAGUAUCCGAGGGAAACUGAAUAUAAAUCUGGCCCGAAUACAAGGAAUCCUGUUCGGGAUCCUCGGUGUUCAUUGGCCCUCUGCAGCUCUUCACAUGCUUCAUGGAGUUUGUCUACAUAGUCCGUCUGCUUCCUGCGUCUUCUCCGAGCGGCGUCACGAUUCCUUUUUCUCCUCCUUUCCAGCUUCUGUUUCUCCUCCUCAGAUAGGCCGUCAGGGAAGGGGUGUUUGGAGGGGCUGUUGGGGAUGUCGUGACUUUUCCUUUUUUUCCGUCUCGAAGUCGACCCGAGAGAAAGAUCGAGGGGGGACGGAUCGUCAGCGGGACUGUAGGGCAUAGCGCCCGGCUCUGGCUCCUGAGACAUCUCUUUACACCUGUACCGUGCCCGCCUUCUCCCUGGUAUACACCUGCAAGAGACGCCUGCCUAGGAAUCAGUGUGCGGAAUUUAUUCUUAACAUUCCAGCACCAACCUCCCCGAACCAAAAUAAUAAUUAAAAAAGCAACACCCACAGACCCGAAAGUAUUGAAGAAUUACACGUUCGCGAACGGUCACAAUUCACCUGUCAUUUUAUAAAGGAGCAAUAGUUUAUUUAAGAGAUGUUUCAAUACCACCACAAACAGUAGACGACCACGAUACACACAUCUACCCGAUAUGUUACACUCCCGGAGAUCAGGUCUCUUAGUUAUCCGGGAAUGAUUACCUUACCCGCACUUUGGUUCUAAAUGUCACGAUCGAAAAGCCGGCUGGUAGAGGGAUCGGGCGAAAAGAUCGGGGAGCGGACGGACUGAGCCUUAAGUAGAAUAACUGGCGCGCAGCCAGAUCCUGUAUGAAAGGAUGAGGCUGAAAAAUAUACAUACAUUCAAAAUAAUUAGAAAAACAAAGACAAUGAACGUCCCCGCUACACGUCCGCGUUCGUCUCGGCGACCGCCGUACUUCCGCAAUCGUUUACAGAAGCGUCAUAUCCGUUCUAUUUCCGCAAACAAAGACUUUGAGACAGGAUUUCCGUGUUGUCGUGUCCGGUCAUACAUUCUAUGUAAACAAGGAAGUUAUCCCCUUUGCUUCCGUAUUAUCGAUAAUCGGCUCCGAUCCCGAUUCCGCGGACCAAGCAUUGGCUGCAAACUAUAUCGGAAUGCGCCAGACCUUCUUUGCGCGUCUCCAGACACUUCUGCGAUCGCAGACGAAGAAGCCUGACGUAGGCGGACGGCAAACUUUCGCCAUGUGUACUGCUUGUAUGCUACAACGGCCAAUCGUGUUCCACAUGCAUGCGACUGCAUGUUUAGGUCUCACCCCUCUCGAACCCUACAACAUCUCCGCUCCAUGUGAUCCGAAGGGAGAUCGAAGAUCGUAGACUCUCUACAUACACCGGCCUCAAUAUACCACGACCGACAGAGAAAGUUGGGGAAGGUUGUCGCAGUAUCCGUUUCGAGAUGGAAAGUGGGUCCGCAGUCAAUGCAUCCGGGGUCUGCAACGAUAUCACAGCUGUAAUCAACACGGAUGUAUUUAUCAUGUACAAAGACGGAAGCGCGGGGACGUUGAUGGAGGAGUUGCAAACCUGACGUCACAAAACAGCUACGCAGCAAAAGCAGGUAAAGUAUAACCAUAAUCGUGCAACAACGCCCAAAUAGUUUAAAUGGUGCAAUUCGUCAAUAAAUGAAAGUUUCAUGUCGUGUAU